UACUGUGUUCAAAGAAAGGCAGCUCAGUGAGCAUUUACAGAACACCAAGAAUUUACCAGAACGUAGCCCCCUAUUGUUCAGCAGCCCUGCCCUCUCCCCUUUUCUGGGAACUGUGCCUUCUUACUUCCUGCGCCGCCCCACCCCCACCACACACGGUUACCAUAGGAACAACCUCGGUCCUACCAUUGGACCGCACCCUUCUGUCCACAGUUGAUUGGUCUAGAGUGAACACCUCACCGAGGCUGGACCAAUCAGAGGCCCAGGCCCUGGAGACUUGGGAAGGUUGGGACCCAGAAAGUGAUUGAAGCUUUGCUUGCAGGGCUGGACAAGUUGGGUCGUUGGCUAGGCGGAUGCUGGCAGCCAGCUUUUCAGUCGAAUGAAGAGAAACGUUGCAUGCAGUGGGUUUCUGUGGAUUGCAACACAAGUCUUAACGAAUACCGUGCCAAGUGCUGGGGCUUUAUGGACGCAAUGGUCUCUGCUCCCAAGAAGGAACGAAAGCACCUUCCUUUCCGAAAGAUGCGAUCAGAUCGUGCCUUUCAGGCUGCGUCUCCUCUUUCUCAUAGUCCACUUUCCCAAGGAUUUGGGGAACGUCUGGCAUCGGCCUUUGCGGUGAGCUGACAGGUUGUCGCCUCUCUUUUCCCCGCCGCUGACUCACUGAAAGAGCCCUUGGGAGUGAAUCGCUGACUGAGAGCUCUGUCUGAUUGACACCGUCCAUUGCCUUGUAGCCUGGGGACCUUGACAUUUAUCUGGAGAGACAGGUGUGACUCCUCCCAGCUAUCCAGUUUUCAAAUCACAGAGACCUUUGCAGUGCUCACAGAGCUAAGGAAAGAGCGAGGGCACCUUAUUGAGCCGCGCCGGCCCUCCACCCUCUCCACACAGACACCUCUCGGCUCGGCGGAGCAUCUCCCAUCAGGAUGGUGCUCAGGUACAGCCGACCCUGACUUAGAGGAAGGGGACUCCGAUGUCCACCCGAUGUAGAUCCCAGGCACACUCUGCUGUAUGCGCUGCAUACACAGACACUUUAUAAGGUUUGGGACACUUUAUAAGCAUCUCUUGGUAUCCUUGCAAGACUGAUUCGAACAAACAUACACGCGCGCACACAGGUACACACAGGAUCAGGCACCUGCUCACGCAGCUGACCGUUGGGUUCCUGGGGACCCACAUUGUGGAGGGAUAGAACCAAUUCGUGCAGUGGCCUCAGACUUUUUUUUUUUUCAAGACAGGUUUCUCUGUGUAACAGCCCUGGCUGCCCUUGAACUUGAAGACCAAGCUGGCCCCGGACUCACAAAGCUCCACCUGCCUCUGCCUCCUUAAUUCCGGCCUCUGCUGGGAUUAAUGGCAUGUCCCUGUGGCUCAUCCCCUGACUUCUGUAGGCGUACUGGACUAUGGCAUGCAUAUGAGCACAUGUCCACACACAGGAGCUGAAAAUGCAUUUUUUAAAGUCUUUAAAAACUGUGUCUACACUGAACAUGCAUACAUUUCCCCCUCGCCAUUAUAUUUUGAACAAUCCAGUUUAGCGACCAUUUACACAAUAUCUGCAUUUAUUAGGCAUUAUAAGUAACCAAAAACUAGCUCAUAGAGCCCUUUAUAUAGCCUGCGUUAAACCGCUUCUAGAGUAUGACGCAGGAUCUUUUCCUGAACCAGGAUCCUCAUUUUCUUGGCUGUGCUGGGUUCCAGCACACCUCAGUGAUUCCUGUCUCCUCCUCUGACAACGCUGAGGCUACAGAGGUGAUCAAUGAUCAAGACCAUACCCUGCUUGUUACAUGGGUGCUGGGACUGCUAUGUGGGUGCUGGGACUGCUAUGUGGGUGCUGGGAACCAAAUUCAGGACCUCAUGGUUAAGCAGUCAGCACUCAACUACUGG